CCUACGGGAGGCUGCAGUGAGGAAUAUUGGUCAAUGGCCGGAAGGCUGAACCAGCCAAGCCGCGUGAAGGACGAAGGUGCCAAGCAUUGUAAACUUCUUUUGUCAAGGGACAAAAUCAGGCUCGAGAGCCUGACCGCGGGUACUUGAAGAAAAAGCAUCGGCUAACUCCGUGCCAGCAGCCGCGGUACUAGGGGGGAUGCGAGCGUUAUCCGGAUUUAUUGGGUUUAAAGGGUGCGUAGGGGGGCUGUUAAGUCAGCGGUAAAAGCCCGGGGCUAAACCCCGGCGAGCCGUUGAAACUGGCGGUCUUGAGAUGUCGAGAGGUAUGCGGAAUGCGCAGUGUAGCGGUGAAAUGCUUAGAGAUUGCGCAGAACUCCGAUUGCGAAGGCAGCAUACCGGCGGCGAUCUGACGCUGAGGCACGAAAGCGUGGGUAUCGAACAGGAUUAGAUACCCGAGUAGUC
rnacentral:rRNA from 1 species